ensembl:lncRNA
AUGGGUUUGUUUGGAGUGGGAGGAGAACACAGGACUCAACCAUGCCCAGAUGCUCCCGGACAGCAAAAGGGGACAAGCCGUAGCCCCGCCCUCCCCAAUGGGGGUCUGAGUAGAGGCCCCCGCGGGGAGGAGGAGGACCGCAGUGUCCUUUGGGAAAUGGAGUCCAUGAGCCUGCCCAUCAGAGAAGCUAAAGGAGAGCGGCCGUGGGUCUCCCUAAGAGUAGACUACAUUUCCCAGAAGGUUCCAAGAUUCCAUUCCAGCUCGACCUGUGUGGAUGGUCUCAGAACCCAAGGCAUGAUGGGAAUCAUCUUUUCGGGGCUCAAGGAGCAGCCCGAGACGCCGAGUGGGCAAGAGAGAGUGACAGGACUACGCAAGCGCGAGACCCGGCUUCCCAUCUCCCCUCCUAGCUGGAGCCUGGUCCCCCCAGUGCCUGCUGAUGAGCGAGUGCGCGUGUGCGGCGACGCCUAUCCUAGCGCGGACCAAUGGUUGUGGUGGAGUCGCCGCCGCCUGUCUGACCUCCCUUCCCCUCGCCUCAUGGUGGCCGCCCAGCCCAGUUCGAGGGGUCCCCCAGAGCCUCGGGCAGCAAACUCCAGCAAGGCGGGAGGCUGCAAAGGGAGCGCAGGCGAGCGGCUUCCCGAGAAGGCCAGGCUGCUGCUGGGAAGCUCCCAUCCUUCCUGGCCGACCCACCAGGAGGCUCCUCCACAGCCGCUUCGGAGCACGGCCCCAUCCCUGGAGGGACUGGUGGUCCAGGCCGCCCCGCUAGCGUCUGAGGGCGCCUUUUCCCGGAUUCCGGCCAGCGCUCCGGGGAGGACGAGCGCGUCACAUCCAUCGCGGGACGCAGCUUGGGCAGAGGAAGUGAAGACCACCUUAUGGCAGAUGAGGAGGAAAUGACUUCCAGCUUCCUGAGACCUAGGCUUAAGGAUUGCUGUGUGAUCACCUGUACACAGAGCCACAGAUGGCCAGAGAUUUGAGAUCAGGUUGAGGCUUCUCUAGUCCAGCACAUACUUUUCACUACCACUUGCUGCUGCUGGAGGUGAACAGAGAUCCCCUUCUCCCCACUCUCAAGUUCUUGCAUAACUAUCAGAAUCUCAAGCCACAUGUUUAAAAGAGAGGAGAACCUUCUUGUAGUUUUGUAUCACUGCUAUUUCCAGCAUAGAUGUAAUAUGUUGUGGUGGAGAGAAAUCUGAUCUCAUAGCCAGAAAGACCUGGGUUUGAGUCCUGACACUGAAUAUGUUCACUCAGAAAUAUGUUCACUCUUAACCUUUCAGGGUUCUAGGGAACUCUCUAGACUAAGCUGUCUCAAAGUAAACUCCCUUUACCCAGCUGCAUUGGUAGAGGGAGUUUCCUCCCUUAGCGUUCUUGAUGCCAAUUAAAUCAGAGAUCAGUCCCUAUCCCUAUUCAGUCAUUUCCAAAGAUAGCCCUCCUCCUCCACUUCCCAUGGAGAUAUUUCUUGUUAUUUAAGAAAAAGUAGAAAAGAUAGGGGGAAAGAGGAAAAUUCCAUUCAAAAUAACUAUAUUUGCAUAUAAUUUCUGGGAGUAAAUCUACCAUGACAGACAUCCAAAGGAAGAUAAUGAGAUACUCUGUCCAGCUCCAAAGAGAGGGCUGAUGGGCUCAUAGUACAGAUUGAAGGACUUUUUCUUUUCUUUUUCUUCUUUCUUUUUUUAUGGAUGAAGCAAAUGUGGGGAUUUGUUUUGCAUGACUUUACUUAUCUGCAAUAGACUUUGUUUUUCUUGACUUCCCAAUGGAUGGAGGGGAGGGAGAGCAUUUGGAACUGAAAAUAGUACUGAAUUUUAAACUAAAAAUUUUAAAAUGAAGCUUCUACUCCCCAAAUGGCUUCUAACUCUUCUUCAUUCCAUUUCCAGCAUUUUAGGAAGUUAUUUUUAAGACUUCAGAAAUAUAUUGGGCACAUUCCUUUUUGCUUCACAACUGGGGGAAAGCAAACCAAGCUUCUGCAAGUGCUCACUCAGACGCAUCAACCUGUAUGUGCUUAGAUUCCGGGUCUUUUUUCAGUGAUUUUCUAUUGUUCUGUCCUGCAGAGUAUAAUUCUUGUUUUCAGUGAGUGUAUUCUUUUCUUUUCCUGUAAAUUUUUUUUUCAAACAGUAAAAACCCACCGUCUCACCCUAACACCCCAGUGCCCCUCCCAAUUGAGAAUGAAGGGAAAACAAAACUUCAUCAUAAGUCAAGCAACAAAUCUCUGCACUGGCUAUAUCAAAAAAAAAUGCCUUCCUAUUCUGCAUUCUGAGGUCCUAAGUUCUUCUCCUCUCCUUCAGGAGGUAGGCAACAUGUUCUAUCAUUAGCCCCCUAAAAUCAGGUGGUUGUUGCUCUGAUCAGAGUUCCCAGACAUGUAGUUGUUCAGUCAUUUCAGUUGUAUCUGGCUCUUUGUGACCCCAUUGGGGGUUUUCUUGGCAAAGAUACUAGAGUGGUUUGCCAUUUCCUUCUCCAGCUCAUUUUAGAUGAGGAACGGAGCACCAUAGGGUUAAAUGACUUGCCCAGAGUCACAUAGCUAGUAAAUGUCUGAGGCUGAAUUUUAACUCAGGUCUUUCUGACUCUAGGCCUGGCACUCUAUCAACUGCACUGCUGCCUAGCACAUAGUAGGUGCUUAAUAAAUUUUAUUGACUUGGUGACA